GUGCUCACUUCCACAUACUAAAAUUGGGACAGUACAGAGGAGAUUAGCCCCUGUGCAAGGAUGACACACAAAUUUGUAGAGUGUUCCAUAUUUUA
rnacentral:snRNA from 1 species